UACGUAGGUCCCGAGCGUUGUCCGGAUUAUUGGGCGUAAAGCGAGCGCAGGUGGUUUAUUAAGUCUGGUGUAAAAGGCAGUGGCUCAACCAUUGUAUGCAUUGGAAACUGGUAGACUUGAGUGCAGGAGAGGAGAGUGGAAUUCCAUGUGUAGCGGUGAAAUGCGUAGAUAUAUGGAGGAACACCGGUGGCGAAAACGGCUCUCUGGCCUGUAACUGACACUGAGGCUCGAAAGCGUGGGGAACAAACAGG
rnacentral:rRNA from 1 species